AUUGAACGCUGGCGGCAGGCUUAACACAUGCAAGUCGAGCGGGGGAAGGUAGCUUGCUACCGGACCUAGCGGCGGACGGGUGAGUAAUGCUUAGGAAUCUGCCUAUUAGUGGGGGACAACAUCUCGAAAGGGAUGCUAAUACCGCAUACGUCCUACGGGAGAAAGCAGGGGAUCUUCGGACCUUGCGCUAAUAGAUGAGCCUAAGUCGGAUUAGCUAGUCGGUGGGGUAAAGGCCUACCAAGGCGACGAUCUGUAGCGGGUCUGAGAGGAUGAUCCGCCACACUGGGACUGAGACACGGCCCAGACUCCUACGGGAGGCAGCAGUGGGGAAUAUUGGACAAUGGGGGGAACCCUGAUCCAGCCAUGCCGCGUGUGUGAAGAAGGCCUUAUGGUUGUAAAGCACUUUAAGCGAGGAGGAGGCUACUUUAGUUAAUACCUAGAGAUAGUGGACGUUACUCGCAGAAUAAGCACCGGCUAACUCUGUGCCAGCCGCCGCCGCAG
rnacentral:rRNA from 1 species